rnacentral:rRNA from 1 species
AGCGAACGCUGGCGGCAUGCCUAACACAUGCAAGUCGCGCGGCCGGCAACGGCAGCGGCGGACGGGUGCGCAACGCGUAGGAACGUGUCCAGAGGUGGGGGACAACCCCGGGAAACUGGGGCUAAUACCGCAUGCGUCCUUCGGGACAAAGCCGAGAGGCGCCUUUGGAGCGGCCUGCGUCCGAUUAGCUUGUUGGUGGGGUAACGGCCUACCAAGGCUGCGAUCGGUAGCUGGUCUGAGAGGACGACCAGCCACACUGGGACUGAGACACGGCCCAGACUCCUACGGGAGGCAGCAGUGGGGAAUAUUGGACAAUGGGCGCUAGCCUGAUCCAGCAAUGCCGCGUGGGUGAAGAAGGUCUUCGGAUCGUAAAGCCCUUUCGACAGGGACGAUGAUGACGGUGCCUGUAGAAGAAGCCCCGGCUAACUUCGUGCCAGCCGCCGCAGUAAUAC